AGAACGAACGCUGGCGGCGUGGAUAAGACAUGCAAGCCGAACGCUGAUUUCAAGGUAGCAAUAUUUUGGAGUCGGAGUGGCGCAAGGGUGCGUAACACGUGGGCAAUCUGCCGUGAAGCCUGGAAUAACUCGCUGAAAGGCGAGCUAAUACCGGAUGUGAACGCAAGUUCAAAGCUGGGGACCGCAAGGCCUGGCACUUUACGAUGAGCCCGCGGCCUAUCAGCUAGUUGGUGAGGUAACGGCCCACCAAGGCUAAGACGGGUAGCUGGUCUGAGAGGACGACCAGCCACACUGGAACUGAGACACGGUCCAGACACCUACGGGUGGCAGCAGUCGAGAAUUUUUCACAAUGGGGGAAACCCUGAUGGAGCGACGCCGCGUGGGGGAUGAAUGGCUUCGGCCCGUAAACCCCUGUCAUUUGCGAACAAACCUUGUCAUCUAAUACAUGGCAAGCUGAUUGUAGCGAAAGAGGAAGGGACGGCUAACUCUGUGCCAGCAGCCGCGGUAAUACAGAGGUCCCAAGCGUUGUUCGGAUUCACUGGGCGUAAAGGGUGCGUAGGUGGUCAGGUAAGUCUGAUGUGAAAGCUCGGAGCUUAACUCCGAAACGGCAUUGGAUACUAUCUGGCUGGAGGGUCGGAGGGGGGACUGGAAUUCUCGGUGUAGCAGUGAAAUGCGUAGAUAUCGAGAGGAACACCAGUGGCGAAGGCGAGUCCCUGGACGACUCCUGACACUGAGGCACGAAAGCUAGGGGAGCAAACAGGAUUAGAUACCCCGGUAGUCCACACCGUAAACUAUGGAUGCUAGCUUUUACUCACAUCGACCUGAGUAGAAGCGAAGUUAACGCGUUAAGCAUCCCGCCUGGGGAGUACGGUCGCAAGAUUAAA
rnacentral:rRNA from 1 species